AGCUACAGCCAUGCCACUCUGAACACGCUCAGAAGCUAAGCAGGGUCGGUCUUGGUUAGUACUUGGAUGAGAAACCAAGUGCUGUAGAUG
rnacentral:rRNA from 1 species